rnacentral:rRNA from 1 species
CUACGGGACGCACCAGUGAGGAAUAUUGCACAAUGGGGGGAACCCUGAUGCAGCAACGCCGCGUGGAGGAUGACGCAUUUCGGUGUGUAAACUCCUUUUAUAUGUCAAGAAAAUGACGGUAGCAUAUGAAUAAGCACCGGCUAACUCCGUGCCAGCAGCCGCGGUAAUACGGAGGGUGCAAGCGUUACUCGGAAUCACUGGGCGUAAAGGACGCGUAGGCGGGCUUGUAAGUCAGGUGUGAAAUCCUACAGCUUAACUGUAGAACUGCACUUGAAACUACGAGUCUAGAGUAUGGGAGGGGGAGAUGGAAUUAGUGGUGUAGGGGUAAAAUCCGUAGAUAUCACUAGGAAUACCAAAAGCGAAGGCGAUCUCCUGGAACAUUACUGACGCUAAGGCGUGAAAGCGUGGGGAGCAAACAGGAUUAGAUACCCGAGUAGUC